rnacentral:rRNA from 1 species
AGCGAACGUUUGCGGCGGGCUUAACACAUGCAAGUCGAACGGGCUGUUCCUUCGGGGGCAGUCAGUGGCGCACGGGUGCGUAACACGUAGGUAAUCAACCCUCUGGUUGGGGAUAACACUUCGAAAGGAGUGCUAAUACCCGGUAUGGCGCAGCGGUCUUCGGAUCGCGGCGAGAAAGACCCGCAAGGGUUGCCAGAGGACGAGCCUGCGGCCCAUCAGCUAGUUGGCGAGGUAACGGCUCACCAAGGCGAAGACGGGUAGCUGGUCUGAGAGGAUGAUCAGCCACGCUGGAACUGAGACACGGUCCAGACUCCUACGGGAGGCAGCAGUGGGGAAUAUUGCGCAAUGGGCGAAAGCCUGACGCAGCCACGCCGCGUGAGCGAUGAAGGCCU